UUAGAUCUCUGGGCCGCACGCGCGCUACACUGAUGCAUUCAACGAGCCUAGCCUKGACCGAGAGGUCCGGGUAAUCUUUGAAAYUGCAUCGUGAUGGGGCUAGAUUAUUGCAAUUAUYAAUCUUCAACGAGGAAUGCCUAGUAAGCGUGAUUCACCACAUCGCGUUGAUUACGUCCUAGCCCUUU
rnacentral:rRNA from 1 species